GACGAACGCUGGCGGCGUGCUUAACACAUGCAAGUCGAGCGGUAAGGCCCUUUCGGGGUACACGAGCGGCGAACGGGUGAGUAACACGUGGGUGACCUGCCCUCAGCUCUGGGAUAAGCCUGGGAAACCGGGUCUAAUACUGGAUAUGACUCCAUGACGCAUGUUGUGGGGUGGAAAGCCUUGUGCGGCUGAGGAUGGGCCCGCGGCCUAUCAGCUUGUUGGUGGGGUGANGGCCUACCAAGGCGACGACGGGUAGCCGGCCUGAGAGGCGACCGGCCACACUGGGACUGAGACACGGCCCAGACUCCUACGGGAGGCAGCAGUGGGGAAUCUUGCGCAAUGGGCGAAAGCCUGACGCAGCGACGCCGCGUGA
rnacentral:rRNA from 1 species